ensembl:snRNA U2 U2 spliceosomal RNA
AUUGCUUCUUCGCCUUUUGGCUAUGAUCAAGUGUAGUAUCUGUUCUUGACAGUUUAAUAUCAGUUUAAUAUAAAUUUCAAUAUAAAUUUCAAUAUAU